rnacentral:tRNA from 1 species
GCCAGGGUAGCUCAGCUGGUUAGAGCGCCGCACUCAUAACGCGGAGGUCGGCGGUUCAAGUCCGCCCCCUGGUACCA